UACGUAGGGCGCAAGCGUUGUCCGGAAUUAUUGGGCGUAAAGGGCGCGUAGGCGGCUUGGCAAGUGGAUGGUGAAAUCCCUCGGCUUAACCGAGGAACUGCCGUCCAAACUGCUUCGCUUGAGACCGGGAGAGGUGAGUGGAAUUCCCAGUGUAGCGGUGAAAUGCGUAGAUAUUGGGAGGAACACCAGUGGCGAAGGCGGCUCACUGGACCGGUACUGACGCUGAUGCGCGAAAGCGUGGGGAGCAAACGGGG
rnacentral:rRNA from 1 species